GUAGGAAAUUUGAGAGGAGCUGUCCUUAGUACGAGAGGACCGGGAUGGACGCACCGCUGGUGUACCAGUUGUUCUGCCAAGGGCAUAGCUGGGUAGCUAUGUGCGGAAGGGAUAAGUGCUGAAAGCAUCUAAGCAUGAAGCCCCCCUCAAGAUGAGAUUUCCCAUAGCGUAAGCUAGUAAGAUCCCUGAAAGAUGAUCAGGUUGAUAGGUUCGAGGUGGAAGCAUGGUGACAUGUGGAGCUGACGAAUACUAAUAGAUCGAGGACUUAACCAUAUAA
rnacentral:rRNA from 1 species